rnacentral:rRNA from 1 species
AUACGUAGGGGGCAAGCGUUGUCCGGAAUGAUUGGGCGUAAAGGGCGCGUAGGCGGCGCGGUAAGUCUGGAGUGAAAGUCCUGCUUUCAAGGUGGGAAUUGCUUUGGAUACUGCCGCGCUUGAGUGCAGGAGAGGUUAUCGGAAUUCCCGGUGUAGCGGUGAAAUGCGUAGAGAUCGGGAGGAACACCAGUGGCGAAGGCGGGUAACUGGACUGCAACUGACGCUGAGGCGCGAAAGUGUGGGGAGCAAACAGGAUUAGAUACCCUGGUAGUCCACACUGUAAACGAUGAAUGCUAGGUGUAAGAGGUAUCGACCCCUUUUGUGCCGGAGUCAACACAAUAAGCAUUCCGCCUGGGGAGUACGGCCGCAAGGUUGAAACUCAAAUGAAUUGACGGGG